rnacentral:lncRNA from 1 species
UUUUAAUUUUAAUUUAAUGCUCGUAUUUUUUUCGUUUUAAUAUUAUUAGUAUUUUGUGCAUUUUUAUAUUUUUGUAUUUAUAUUUUUAAUUUUAAAUCUAAUUUAAUUUUAAUUUUAUUUUAUUUUGAAUACUUUUAAUAAAUAAGACAACGAAUCGAUUUAACAUAAACCCGUUGAUUUCAUCGCUAUGUUCAGUGAAUAUCAUUGGUUCGCG